rnacentral:rRNA from 1 species
AUUGAACGCUGGCGGCAGGCCUAACACAUGCAAGUCGAGCGAGCGGCGGACGGGUGAGUAAUGUAUGGGGACUGCCCGAUAGAGGGGGAUACCUACUGGAAACGGUGGCUAAUACCGCAUACUAUCGGAUAACCCAUAUGGGAUUAGCUAGUAGGUGGGGUAAAGGCUCACCUAGGCGACGAUCUCUAUCUGGUCUGAGAGGAUGCUCAGACCACCUGUGACUGAGACACGGCCCAGAUUCCUACGGAGGAAGCAGUGGGGAAUAUGGCACACUGGGCGCAAGCCUGAUGCAGCCAUGCCGCGUGUAUGAAGAAGGCCUUAGGGUUGUAAAGUACUUUCAGCGGUGAGGCGUUACCCGCAGAAGAAGCACCGGCUAACUCCGUGCCAGCAGCCGCGGUAAUUC